rnacentral:misc_RNA from 1 species
AAGUCGUAACAAGGUUUCCGUAGGUGAACCUGCGGAAGGAUCAUUAUUGAAUAAACCUGGCGUGGUUGUAGCUGGUCCUCUCGGGGACAUGUGCUCGCCCGUCAUCUUUAUAUCUCCACCUGUGCACCCUUUGUAGACCUGGACGAUAACUUUCCGAGGCAACUCGGUCGGGAGGACUGCUGGCUUUCACGAGUCGGCUUUCCUUGUAUUAUCCAGGCCUAUGUCUUACACAUACCCCAAAGAAUGUAACAGGAUGUAUUGUAUAUGGCCUAGUGCCUAUAAACUAUAUACAACUUUCAACAACGGAUCUCUUGGCUCCA